CUCGGUAUGAUAAUUCUUUCAUCAGUUUGUUCCCUGUUUCUUCUCUAGCCUGAGCCUGACACACUAUUCUAGCUAGACAUGGGUGUGGCUCGUAACACCUGAUGACCAAACGGAUCUACGACACCAUUGAAUCUCAAACUUUAACUACCAAAACUAUUAUUUUUCAUCCUGUAGUCCCUUUUAGAAUUACUAAACGUCCUUUUUUGGGCCGAGAUUUCCAAGAACGCUUUCUCGUGGUUUGUGUGCAAGUAUUUCAAACCAUACAGACCUAAAAAUUAGAAGUCAUUCCAUCUUUAUGCCCGUAGAGCCUUCCAGCAGUUCCUAAACCGCUCCAGUCGGAGCACGUUAUCAUUCUUAUUAGUUCUGAGUGAAUUCCCUCAGUAUGAUAAUUCUUUCAUAAGUUUGUUCCCCAUUUCUUCUCUAGCCUGAGCCUGGCACACUAUUCUAGCUAGACAUGGGUGUGGCUCAUAACACUUGUUGACUAAAUGGAUCGACGGCACCAUCGAAUCUCAAACUUUAACUGCCAAAACUAUUGUUUUUCAUCCUGUAGUCCCAUUUAGAAUUAUUAAACGUCCUUUUUUGGGCCGAUAUUUAGAGUAAUGCUUUCUCGGGGUUUGUCUGCAAGUAUUUCAAACCAUACGGACCUAAAAAUUAGAAGUCAUUCCAUCUUUAUUCCCCUAGAGCCUUCCAGCAGUUCCUAAACCGCUCUAGUCGGAGCACGUUAUCAUUCUUGUUAGUUCUGAGUGAAUUCCCUCAGUAUGAUAAUUCUUUCAUCUGUUUGUUCCCCGUUUCUUCUCUAGCCUGAGCCUGACACACUAUUCAAGCUAGACAUGGAUGUGGCUCGUAACACCUGAUGACCAAACGGAUCUACGGCACCAUCGAAUCCCAAACUUUAACUGCCAAAACUAUUGUUUUUCAUCCUGUAGUCCCUUUUAGAAUUACUAAACGUCCUUUUUUGGGCCGAGAUUUCCAGGAAUGCUUUCUCGGGGUUUGUGUGCAAGUAUUUCAAACCAUACAAAGCUAGAAAUUAGAAGUCAUUCCAUCUUUAUUAUCGUAGAGCCUUCCAGCAGUUCCUAAACCGGUCUAGUCGGAGCACGUUAUCAUUCUAGUUAGUUCUGAGUGAAUUCCCUCGGUAUGAUAAUUCUUUCAUCAGUUUGUUCCCCGUUUCUUCUCUAGCCUGAGCCUGACAAACUAUUCUAGCUAGACAUGCGUGUGGCUCGUAACACCUGAUGACCAAACGGAUCUAUAGCACCAUCGAAUCUCAAACUUUAACUGCCAAAACUAUUGUUUUCAUCCUGUAGUCCCUUUUAGAAUUACUAAACUUCCUUUUUUGGGCCGAGAUUUAGAGGAACGCUUUCUGGGGUUUGUGUGCAAGUAUUUCAAACCAUACAGACCUAAAAAUUAGAAGUCAUUCCAUCUUUAUUCCCCUAGAGCCUUCCAGCAGUUCCUAAACCGCUCUAGUCGGAGCACGUUAUCAUUAUUGUUAGUUCUGAGUGAAUUCCCUCGGUAUGAUAAUUCUUUCAUCAGUUUGUUCCCUGUUUCUUCUCUAUCCUGAGCCUGACACACUAUUCUAGCUAGACAUGGGUGUGGCUCGUAACACCUGAUGACUAAAUGGAUCGACGGCACCAUCGAAUCUCAAACUUUAACUGCCAAAACUAUUGUUUUUCAUCCUGUAGUCCCAUUUAGAAUUAGUAAACGUCCUUUUUUGGGCCGAGAUUUAGAGGAACGCUUUCUCGGGGUUUGUGUGCAAGUAUUUCAAACCAUACGGACCUAAAAAUUAGAAGUCAUUCCAUCUUUAUUCCCCUAGUCAUCAGGUAUACACUCAAGUCGGAGCACGUUAUCAUUCUUGUUAGUUCUGAGUGAAUUCCCUCGGUAUGAUAAUUCUUUCAUAAAUUUGUUCCCCGUUUCUUAUAUGGCCUGAGCCUGACACACUAUUCUAGCUAGACAUGGGUGUGGCUCGUAACACCUGAUGACCAAACGGAUCUACGGCACCAUCAAAUCUCAAACUUUAACUGCCAAAACUAUUCUUUUUCAUUCUGUAGUCCCUUCUAGAAUUACUAAACGUCCUUUUUUGGGCCGAGAUUUCCAGGAACGCUUUCUCGGGGUUUGUGUGCAUGUAUUUCAAACCAUACAGACCUAAAAAUUAUAAGUCAUUCCAUCUUUAUUCCCGUAGAGCCUUCCAGUAGUUCCUAAACCGCUCCAGUCGGAGCAUGUUAUCAUUCUUGUUAGUUCUAAGUGAAUUCCCUCGGUAUGAUAAUUCUUUCAUCAGUUUGUUCCCCGUUUCUUCUCUAGCCUGAGCCUGGCACACUAGUCUAGCUAGACAUGGGUGUGGCUCGUAACACCCGAUGACUAAAUGGAUCGACGGCACCAUCGAAUCUCAAACUUUAACUGCCAAAACUAUUGUUUUUCAUCCUGUAGUCCCAUUUAGAAUUACUAAACGUCCUUUUUUGGGCCGAGAUUUAGAGGAACGCUUUCUCGUGGUUUGUGUGCAAGAAUUUCAAACCAUACGGACCUAAAAAUUAGAAGUCAUUCCAUCUUUAUUCCCCUAGAGCCUUCCAGUAGUUCCUAAACCGCUCUAGUCGGAGCACGUUAUCAUUCUUGUUAGUUCUGAGAGAAUUCCCUCGGUAUGAUAAUUCUUUUAUCAGUUUGUUCCCCGUUUCUUCUCUAGCCUGAGCCCGACACACUAUUCUAGCUAGACAUGGGUGUGGCUCGUAACACCUGAUGACCAAACGGAUCUACGGCACCAUCGAAUCUCAAACUUUAACUGCCAAAACUAUUGUUUUUCAUCCUGUAGUCCCUUUUAGAAUUACUAAAUGUCCUUUUUUGGGCCGAGAUUUCCAGGAACGCUUUCUCAGGGUUUGUGUGCAAGUAAUUCAAACCAUACGGACCUAAAAAUUAGAAGUCAUUCCAUCUUUAUUCCCCUAGAGCCUUCCAGCAGUUCCUAAACCGCUCAAGUCAGUGCACGUUAUCAUUCUUGUUAGUUCUAAGUGAAUUCCCUCGGUAUGAUAAUUUGUUCAUCAGUUUGUUCCCCGUUUCUUCUCUAGCCUGAGCCUGACACACUAUUCUAGCUAGACAUGGGUGUGGCUCGUAACACCUGAUGACCAAACGGAUCUACGACACCAUCGAAUCUCAAACUUUAACUACCAAAACUAUUGUUUUUCAUCCUCUAGUCCCUUUUAGAAUUACUAAACGUCCUUUUUUGGGCCGAGAUUUCCAGGAACGCUUUCUCGGGGUUUGUGUGCAUGUAUUUCAAACCAUACAGACCUAAAAAUUAGAAGUCAUUCCAUCUUUAUUCCCGUAGAGCCUUCCAGCAGUUCCUAAACCGCUCCAGUCGGAGCAUGUUAUCAUUCUUGUUUGUUCUGAGUGAAUUCCCUCGGUAUGAUAAUUCUAUCAUCAGUUUGUUCCCCGUUUCUUCUCUAGCCUGAGCCUGGCAAACUAUUCUAGCUAGACAUGGGUGUGGCUCGUAACACCUGAUGACCAAACGGAUCUACGACACCAUCGAAUCUCAAACUUUAACUACCAAAACUAUUGUUUUUCAUUCUAUAGUCCCUUCUAGAAUUUCUAAACGUCCUUUUUUGGGCCGAGAUUUCCAGGAAUGCUUUCUCGGGGUUUGUGUGCAAGUAUUUCAAAUCAUACGGACCUAAAAAUUAGAAGUCAUUCCAUCUUUAUUCCCCUAGAGCCUUCCAGUAGUUCCUAAACCGCUCCAGUCGGAGCACGUUAUCAUUCUUGUUAGUUCAUAGUGAAUUCCCUCGGUAUGAUAAUUCUUUCAUCAGUUUGUUCCCCGUUUCUUCUCUAGCCUGAGCCUGGCACAGUAUUCUAGCUAGACAUGGGUGUGGUCGUAACACCUGAUGACUAAAUGGAUCGACGGCACCAUCGAAUCUCAAACUUUAACUGCCAAAACUAUUGUUUUUCAUCCUGUAAUCCCAUUUAGAAUUACUAAACGUCCUUUUUUGGGCCGAGAUUUAGAGGAACGCUUUGUUGGGGUUUGUGUGCAAGUAUUUCAAACCAUACGGACCUAAAAAUUAGAACUCAUUCCAUAUUUAUUCCCCUUGAGCCUUCCAGCAGUUCCUAAACCGCUCUAGUCGGAGCACGUUAUCAUUCUUGUUAGUUCUAAGAGAAUUCCCUCGGUAUGAUAAUUCUUUUAUCAGUUUGUUCCCCGUUUCUUCUCUAGACUGGGCCCGACACACUAUUCUAGCUAGACAUGGGUGUGGCUCGUAACACCUGAUGACCAAACGGAUCUACGGCACCAUCGAAUCUCAAACUUCAACUGCCAAAACUAUUGUUUUUCAUCCUGUAGUCCCUUUUAGAAUUACUAAACGUCCUUUUUUGGGCCGAGAUUUCCAGGAACGCUUUCUCGGGGUUUGUGUGCAAGUAUUUCAAACCAUACGGACCUAAAAAUUAGAAGUCAUUCCAUCUUUAUUCCCGUAGAGCCAUCCAGCAGUUCCUAAACCGCUCCAGUCGGAGCACGUUAUCAUUCUUGUUAGUUCUGAGUGAAUUCCCUCGGUAUGAUAAUUCUUUCAUCAGUUUGUUCCCCGUUUCUUCUCUAGCCUGAGCCUGACAAACUAUUAUAGCUAGACAUGGGUGUGGCUCGUAACACCUGAUGACCAAACGGAUCUAUGGCACCAUCGAAUCUCAAACUUUAACUGCCAAAACUAUUGUUUUUCAUCCUGUAGUCCCUUUUAGAAUUACUAAACGCCCUUCUUUGGGACGAGAUUUCCAGGAACGCUUUCUCGGGGUUUGUGUGAAAGUAAUUCAAACCAUACGGACCUAAAAAUUAGAAGUCAUUCCAUCUUUAUUCCCGUGGAGCCUUCCAGUAGUUCCUAAACCGCUCCAGUCGGAGCACGUUAUCAUUCUUGUUAGUUCUGAGUGAAUUCCCUCGGUAUGAUAAUUCUUUCAUCAGUUUGUUCCCUGUUUCUUCUCUAGCCUGAGCCUGGCACACUAUUCUAGCUAGACAUGGGUGUGGCUCGUAACACCUGAUGACUAAACUGAUCAAUGACACCAUCGAAUCUCAAACUUUAACUGCCAAAACUAUUGUUUUUCAUCCUGUAGUCCCAUUUAGAAUUACUAAACGUCCUUUUUUGGGCCGAGAUUUCCAGGAACGCUUACUCGGGGUUUGUGUGCAAGUAUUUCAAACCAUACUGACCUAAAAAUUAGAAGUCAAUCCAUCUUUAUUCCCCUAGAGCCUUCCAGCAGUUCCUAAACCGCUCCAGUCGGAGCACGUUAUCAUUCUUGUUAGUUCUGAGUGAAUUCCCUCGGUAUGAUAAUUCUUUCAUCAGUUUGUUCCUUGUUUCUUCUCUAGCCUGAACCUGACACACUAUUCUAGCUAGACAUGGGUGUGGCUCGUAACACCUGAUGACCAAACGGAUCUACGGCACCAUCGAAUCUCAAACUUUAACUGCCAAAACUAUUAUUUUUAAUCCUCUAGUCCCAUUUAGAAUUACUAAACGUCCUUUUUUGGGCCGAGAUUUAGAGGAACGCUUUCAUGCGGUUUGUGUGCAAGUAUUUCAAACCAUACGGACCUAAAAAUUAGAAGUCAUUCCAUCUUUAUUCCCCUAGAGCCUUCCAGCAGUUCCUAAACCGCUCCAGUCGGAGCAUGUUAUCAUUCUUGUUAGUUCUGAGUGAAUUCCCUCGGUAUGAUAAUUCUUUCAUCAGUUUGUGGCCCGUUUCUUCUCUAGCCUGAGCCUGACACACUAUUCUAGCUAGACGUGGGUGUGGCUCGUAACACCUGAUGACCAAACGGAUCUACGGCACCAUCGAAUCUCAAACUUUAAGUGCCAAAACUAUUAUUUUUAAUCCUGUAGUCCCAUUUAGAAUUAC
rnacentral:lncRNA from 1 species